CAGCAGCCGCGGUAAUACGUAGGUGGCAAGCGUUGUCCGGAAUGAUUGGGCGUAAAGGGCGCGCAGGCGGCUGUGUAAGUCUGUCUAGAAAGUGCGGGGCUAAACCCCGUGAGAGGAUGGAAACUGGACAGCUGAGAGUGUCGGAGAGGAAAGCGGAAUUCCUAGUGUAGCGGUGAAAUGCGUAGAUAUUAGGAGGAACACCGGUGGCGAAAGCGGCUUUCUGGACGACAACUGACGCUGAGGCGCGAAAGCCAGGGGAGCAAACGGGAUUAGAUACCCGAGUAGUCCCUGUCUCUUAUAC
rnacentral:rRNA from 1 species